CCAAACCAAACAAGAAAACCAAAUCUAAAUCGAAAGAGAGAGAAAUACUGAGAGAGAAAGAAAUCUCUCUUCUUUCUUUUUUUCUUUUUCCAGAUUCUCCCCAUUUAUAACUCAUGGCGGCAUCUGUUGAAAAUAGGCAGUUCAGUCACCUUGAACCGGGUUUAUCUGGCGUUUCCCGGUCUUUCAAGCCCCGGUCUGAUUCCCCGAUUCGUGGUUGCAACUUCCCGCCGUCCAAUCACGAACUCCCAUUCCAAAAGCAACCGAAUAUGCCCAUGUACUACUCGUCGAGUGAAGAUGAGGAUGAUGACGACGACAAAAAUGAAUACCUUCAAAUGAUCAAAAAAGGUAAAACUGAAUUAGAACCAUCUGUUCAUGACACAAGAGACGAAGGAACCGCUGAUAAUUGGAUUGAAAGAAACUUUUCUUUAAUUCGUCUUACUGGCAAACACCCAUUUAACUCUGAACCGCCUUUGGCUCGGCUCAUGCACCACGGUUUUAUUACCCCGGUCCCACUUCAUUAUGUUCGCAACCACGGUCCGGUUCCCAAGGCCUCAUGGGCUGACUGGAGUGUGGAAGUCACGGGACUAGUGAAACGCCCAAUGAAGUUCACAAUGGACCAGUUGGUUAACGAUUUUCCCUUGAGAGAAUUCCCCGUUACGCUUGUAUGUGCUGGCAAUAGAAGGAAAGAACAGAAUAUGGUUAAGCAAACUAUCGGUUUCAACUGGGGUGCCGCUGCCAUUUCAACUACUGUAUGGGGCGGGGUACCCCUCCGCGUCUUGUUGAAACGAUGUGGUGUUUACACCAAGAAAAAAGGGGCGCUUAACGUUUGUUUCGAAGGUUCUGAUGUGUUGCCUGGAGGUGGUGGUUCAAAGUACGGUACAAGCAUUAAGAAAGAAUUCGCUAUGGAUCCAGCGAGAGAUAUUAUCGUGGCUUUCAUGCAGAAUGGAGAAAUGUUGACGCCGGACCACGGGUUUCCUGUAAGGAUGAUAAUUCCAGGAUUCAUUGGUGGAAGAAUGGUGAAAUGGCUCAAGAGAAUUGUUGUUACUACACAAGAAUCAGAUAGCUAUUAUCAUUACAAAGAUAAUAGAGUUCUCCCUCCUCAUGUUGACGCUGAACUUGCAAACGCUGAAGGUAUAUAGUAAUUAUUUACUCUAAAAGAGGAUUUAAAUGGCAGUUAUUUAAAUAAAUUAUUCAUACAUAUUAAAUAAAUUAGAGUAGUCUAAAGACAAAAUAGAAAGUUGUCAGCUUUUAUAGUUGAAGUGUUUGUAUAAAAUUCAUGUUAACUUGUAUAUAUAUAUAUAUAUAUAUAUAUAUAUAUAUAUAUUUUUUUAUAUUGAUAGUGACCUACACGCGCUGCCACAUCAUGCCACAUCAUUUUUUUAAUAUAAUAAAUUGAUUACUUUUCCUUUUCUCUUUAAUUCUUUCCUCCCUCUCCUUCCUUCCCCUGCACAGCUAAGCAGCUUCAAUGGCCGCACAAAAAAAUUUCAGUUUCUUCCUCAUUUUCUUUGUUUUAAUGCAAUAUCUUUCUUCUUCAGGUAGUUUUCUUUUUCUGUUACUUUCACUGAUUAAGACGCGAAUCAACUUUUUUCUUAUAUCAAAUAUAUACUUUACCGCUUUCCGAAAAAGAAAAAAAAUCUGCCUUCUUUCACUACUGUUUUUUGCCGGAAUGGCUUUACAGUCGUCGGUGAAACUUUUUCGACCACCGAAUCAGUCCUAUCAUGAGCACAUCAAUGAUGCACACCAACAUCAAAAGGAAUUAAUUGUAGAAUCACCUCAUAACUCUCCGAAAUUCAAAAAUAUUAAAACGCUCAGUGGGGAAGUUUCGGAUGAGAAGAUGGGAUUUGGUGCACAAUUUCUGGCAAGAAACACCGCUGGACAGUGACGGCGUCGACAAAAUUUAAAAUUCCGACGACUUUAUUUUUUUCGAUGAAUUCAGCAUUCUUAACGUCAAUCAAUUUCUGGGAAGCUAAGGAAUGAUUCUAACCCAGAAAUUGAUUCGAAUUUCCCAAUCUGAAUUGAUUCAACAUUCUCAACGUCAAUUUGAAAUUGGGUUAAUUGAUUGACUUUGAGAAUGCAAAAAUUAACCCAGAAAAAAUCUACUUACAUAUCAGUGAACAUCGUUGAUUCGUAAAAGAAAAUUUGAAAUUCCCAAUCUGAAUUGAUUCAAUAAGGUAAUAAUAUGGUAAAGAUUUUAAAAAUUAACAAAGAGAAAAUUAAGCGAUGAAAGAAGGAAAAAUCAUGUAAAAAAAAUAAAACUUUUUCACUACACCUUCCAUGCCACCUCAGCAUUUAGGGAGGAAAAUAUUUCAAUUUAAAAAUGUUUAGGGGGGUCAUAGGACCCCUAUAAAGUAUAAGUGUGUAGUUGGAAUUUAGGGUAAAGGUUGGGGAGGUAUUUGGCCAUUUUCUCUGCAUUAUAAUAAGGCAUGAAUGUUAAAGUAUUUAAAAGGCAUGAUAGAAAAUUGAUUGCUUCUCAAAUAUUUUGCAGUGUUGCUUAAAUUGGGAUAACUAUUUGAAAAUAAUAUAAAAAAAUACUAUAAAUAAUAAUAAUAAUUAACAACUUAAAAUCCAAAAUGAGGAGCUUAGGGUCGUUUUUUUUUUAAAUGACAACUAAGCUCCUCAAAGUUUCAUUUAUUAUUAUUUGAAGAUUUUUAUAGAAUUACUUAUAUUUAUUUAAAAUUUUUGUAAAAAAAAUUAUACAUUAUAACAAUUAAUGUUAAAAUAUUUAAAAGGCAUGAUAAAAAAUUGAUUGCUUCUCAAAUUUUUUGCAAUGUUGCUUAAAUUGGGAUAACUAUUUGAAAAUGAUAUAAAAAAUACUAUAGAUAAUAAUAAUUAACAACUUAAAAUAUUUAAAAGAUAUAUAAAAUUAAGAAUGAGAGGAGCUUUGAAUCAACUUUAAAAAGUGAUAAAUAAGUUCCUUAAAUUCCCACUUAUAUUUUUGUGAUGAGCUUAGAGUCAGUUUGGAAAAUGAAUGAGAGUGAAUGAUGAGCUUAGGGUCAUUUUUAAAAAUGACAACUAAGCUUCUCAAAGUUUCAUUUAUUAUUAUUUGAGGAUUUUUUUAAAACUAUUUAUAUUUAUUUUAAAUUUACGUAAAACAUACUAUACACAAUACUUAAUUUAAAAAUAUUUAAAAGGCAUGGUAAAAAAAUUGAUUGCUUCUCAAAAUUUUUGCGAUGUUGCAUAAAUUGGUAUAAUUAUUUGAAUGAUGUUAAAAAUAUUAUGAAUAAUAAUAAUUAACAACUUACAAUAUUUAAAUGACAUUACUUUACUCUAUAUAAUAAGAGUGAAUAGGAGAGGAAGUGUGCAGCUUCCGGUCGUCCUGCUUGUCGACCGUUUAGCUGCUUGCUCCAUAAUUUUACUAUAUCGCCCCUAAUUAAUUAUUGUAUGUCUUCUACAUAUUAGAAAAUUAAUAAUAUUUAAUAAAAAAAGUAAAAUAGACAUUUAUGACAUGUUUGCUUCAGUUGCUUCAACCAUAAUUUAAUUAUAUCACCCAUAAUCAAUUAUUAUGAGUCAUCUAAGUAUUAAAAAUUUAAUAUUAAAAAAUUAAUUUUCAAAAAUUAUUAUAGAAUCAUUUAAGUAUUAAAAAAUUAAUAAUAUUUAAUGUUGAAUUAACUUGACGUCAAAUAUGAGGUACCCUUAAUUUUUUUUCCACAAGUAAUUUUUUAUAAUAAUUUUGUUAUAUCACUUCUAAUUAGUUAUUAUAAAUCAUUUAAGACGUCUAAUUUGCUGCUUCAAUCAUGAUUUUACUAUAUCAUCCCUAAUUAAUUAUUAUGACCAUCUAAAAAUUGUGCCACUUAAAUUGGAAUAGAAUUAAAAUAUUAUAAAUCACAAUAAUUAAAAAAUUAAAUUAUUUAAGAAAUAUGAUUGACAAUCAAUGCCAACAAAGUUUGGACAAAGAGAAUAACAUAUAUUAUUUGAAUAUUAAUAAAAAGUAUUAUAAAUUGCAAUAGCUAACAACUUAAAAUAUCAAAAAAAAAAUUAAUCUGUCAUAUAUGUUUAAAAAAUACAUAAAAAAUACUAUACAUCACAUUAAUUGACAACUUAAAAAAUUUAAAGAUUAAUCUGUCUGUUAUGACACAACUUCAUUGGUCCUUUUCCUUGCCUUCUUUUUUUCAUCCAUUUUAAUUUGUUUGUCUUAUUUUUUUAAUUUGUUUUAUACUUCAAAAAGAUACAAAAAAAAAAAAUCAUGUAAAUCACAAUAAUUAAUAACUUAAAAAAUUUAAAAGAUAUAAAAUAUUUGACUGAAUCUCAAAAUUAUUCAUUGUCACUUCAUUUGUAAUAAAAGAAAAAGUAUUAUAAAUCACAGUAAUUAAAAAGUUAAACCAUUUUAAAACUAUAAUUGACUAUUAGUACCACAAAAUUUUGGACAAGGAAAGUAACAUAUAUUAUUUUAAAAUAACAUAAAAUAUAUUAUAAAUUAUAAUAUUUAACGACUUAAAAUAUCUAAAAAAAAAUCUGUUAUAUAUUCCUAAAAAAUAAGUAAAAGAUACUAUAGAUCACAAUAAUUAACAACUUAAAAAUUUAAAAGAUAUAAAAUAUUUGGUUGACUCUUUAAAUUAUAUCAGCGCCACUUAAAUUGAAAUAGUUAAAAAUGUAAUUGAAUAUCAACGUUACAAAAGUUUGGACGAGGAGAGUAACAUGUAUUGUUUGAAAAUUACAUAAAAAAGUAUUAUAAAUUACAAUAAUUAACAAGUUAAAAUAUCUAAAAAAAAUAAUUUGUUACAUAACAACUUAAUUUUUUUUAAAAUAUAAAAUAUUUGGUUGACACUCUAAAUUAUAUCUGUGACACUUAAAUUGGAAUUAAAAAAAGAUAUUAUAAAUCCCAAUAAUUGAAACUUAAAGUAUUCUAAAAAUAUAAUUAACUAUCGAUGCCACAAAAAUUUGAACAAGUAGAGUAACAUGUAUUAUUUACAAAUUACAUAAAAUGUAUCAUAAAUUACGAUAAUUAACAACUUAAAAUAUCUAAAGCAUAUUAAAAAUAUGUUUAAUUAUCUAAAUUUCAUUUAUAUCACAUAUGAAACUAAAAAAUAAAAUAUAUUGGGCCUGUGCUGGCAUGAGCCGCCACAUCUAAUACAUAGAAUAAGUAUAAAAGAAAUUAAAAUAGAAUGGAGAGACAAUUAUGAAUUUAAUAAUAAAUCAAGAUAAAAUAAGGAAAGAAAAUAAAAAAUCAUAAACAAUGGUAAAAUAUUUCUCUUGUGUUUUUUAAUAUUUUUAUCUUAAUUUAUUAAAUUUUAUUUAAUAUCUAUUCAUGUAUUUAAAAAAGUGAAAACUAUUGAUAUAUUAAACUCUUAAAUGUAUACGUACGUGAUUUGCCCAAUAAAUAAUUGAGGUGUCGAUUUUUUGGGUCGUAGAGAAAGUCCGGAAUUUCUAUAUAAGACCAGCACCCGCUCUCACAAACUUCGUUCCCAAACCAAACAAGAAAACCAAAUCUAAAUCGAAAGAGAGAGAAAUACUGAGAGAGAAAGAAAUCUCUCUUCUUUCUUUUUUUCUUUUUCCAGAUUCUCCCCAUUUAUAACUCAUGGCGGCAUCUGUUGAAAAUAGGCAGUUCAGUCACCUUGAACCGGGUUUAUCUGGCGUUUCCCGGUCUUUCAAGCCCCGGUCUGAUUCCCCGAUUCGUGGUUGCAACUUCCCGCCGUCCAAUCACGAACUCCCAUUCCAAAAGCAACCGAAUAUGCCCAUGUACUACUCGUCGAGUGAAGAUGAGGAUGAUGACGACGACAAAAAUGAAUACCUUCAAAUGAUCAAAAAAGGUAAAACUGAAUUAGAACCAUCUGUUCAUGACACAAGAGACGAAGGAACCGCUGAUAAUUGGAUUGAAAGAAACUUUUCUUUAAUUCGUCUUACUGGCAAACACCCAUUUAACUCUGAACCGCCUUUGGCUCGGCUCAUGCACCACGGUUUUAUUACCCCGGUCCCACUUCAUUAUGUUCGCAACCACGGUCCGGUUCCCAAGGCCUCAUGGGCUGACUGGAGUGUGGAAGUCACGGGACUAGUGAAACGCCCAAUGAAGUUCACAAUGGACCAGUUGGUUAACGAUUUUCCCUUGAGAGAAUUCCCCGUUACGCUUGUAUGUGCUGGCAAUAGAAGGAAAGAACAGAAUAUGGUUAAGCAAACUAUCGGUUUCAACUGGGGUGCCGCUGCCAUUUCAACUACUGUAUGGGGCGGGGUACCCCUCCGCGUCUUGUUGAAACGAUGUGGUGUUUACACCAAGAAAAAAGGGGCGCUUAACGUUUGUUUCGAAGGUUCUGAUGUGUUGCCUGGAGGUGGUGGUUCAAAGUACGGUACAAGCAUUAAGAAAGAAUUCGCUAUGGAUCCAGCGAGAGAUAUUAUCGUGGCUUUCAUGCAGAAUGGAGAAAUGUUGACGCCGGACCACGGGUUUCCUGUAAGGAUGAUAAUUCCAGGAUUCAUUGGUGGAAGAAUGGUGAAAUGGCUCAAGAGAAUUGUUGUUACUACACAAGAAUCAGAUAGCUAUUAUCAUUACAAAGAUAAUAGAGUUCUCCCUCCUCAUGUUGACGCUGAACUUGCAAACGCUGAAGGUAUAUAGUAAUUAUUUACUCUAAAAGAGGAUUUAAAUGGCAGUUAUUUAAAUAAAUUAUUCAUACAUAUUAAAUAAAUUAGAGUAGUCUAAAGACAAAAUAGAAAGUUGUCAGCUUUUUUAUUUGAAGUGUUUGUAUAAAAUUCAUGUUAACUUGUAUAUAUAUAUAUGAUUUUAUACUGAAAGAAGUUUUGGUAACUUUGUUCAGCAUGGUGGUACAAGCCAGAAUACAUCAUCAAUGAGCUCAACAUAAACUCUGUAAUUACAACACCGUGCCAUGAAGAAAUUUUGCCAAUUAAUGCGUGGACUACCCAGCGACCUUACACGUUGAGGGGCUAUGCUUAUUCUGGUUAGUAGUUGUAUAUACCUAAAUUUUAUUUAUUUCUGAUUUGCUGAAUUUUCUUGGAGUUGUCGAAGUUCAUCGUAUCCCUCAACUCUGACAUUUUACUUCGUCCUUAUUUGCACUUCUGUUUUCGACUCAAUUCAACCUCAGCAUCUACCUCAUGAUACAUACAUACAUACAAAUAUGACAAUGAAUGGUUGAAGUCAUAUUCGAAAAUUGAAUUUGUUUCAAAAUAUUUUUUUACGGUUAAAAUUAUUACUCAGUAAUUGUCUUUUUACUUGCUUCUUAAAAUCGUAAAAGAUGAAUAAUAUGAAUAAAAGGUGAUAUAUCUUAGUUUCUUUUUAAGCAAGUUACAAAUUGUGAUCAAUAAUUGGUAGACAAAUUAUAGUAUAGUUAAAAUCGUAGGAAUACAACUAUUGGUGUAGGGAUAAGUUAAGGGAAAGUGGAUCAUGGAGCUUGGCCUGCUGUCAUCAGCUUGUUUGCUAAUGUGAAACAGAAUGGCAAGAAAAAGACAAUACAGUUGAUGUAUUUAACGGUUAUACACAAAAAAACGUGGGAAGCUUUCCUAGUUCUGAAGAGUCGGUCUUGGUAUUAAUAUAUAAAUUCAAUUUCUUUAAAAGACAGAAUCUUUUUGACUGCUUUAGUUCCUGUAUCCUGGGCUGCCUCAACAACCUUAUAAGUUGGAUUAUAAUAUUGUAUACUAUAUAUUGUGUUCAUAUGCAAUUAGAAAACUUUCAAGUGGUCACUUUAUAUGGAUCUAGUCAAUAUUAUUUUAAUAGCCUAGCACCCUUUUUUACUAAACUACGUGCCUACCUUCCAUUCCACUACAAAGCUGGUCAAUUAGUUAUUGCAAUUUUGAUUCAAAUUCAAGUUUAACCCUUCAGUGAGCAAAGUGUUGCAUAGAAAAACUAACGUGUGCUAUAGUUAACUUAAUUGUAAUUAAUUAGCCAUUGUAUUGAUUGAAAUGGUAAUUGUGUAACAGGUGGAGGUAAAAAGGUAACUCGAGUAGAAGUGACCUUGGAUGGAGGAGAGACAUGGAGUGUGUGCACACUAGAUCACCCAGAGAAGCCAACAAGGUAUGGCAAAUACUGGUGCUGGUGCUUUUGGUCACUCGAGGUUGAGGUGCUCGACUUGCUUAGUGCCAAGGAAAUUGCUGUACGAGCUAUCGAUGAAACCCUCAAUACUCAACCCGAGAAGCUUAUUUGGAACGUUAUGGUAAAUUCACAUCUCCUUUAGGUUAUCUUUUUACAAGUUCUAUGUAUUAAUGGCGUAAAGUUAUUCUACAAUUAAAAAUAACUUGAAACGAGGUCAAGAAAGAGGGGGUUGGGUAAGAAAGGAGUAUGUAAUUAAUCCUUACGGAAAAAUAAUUUUUGGUCCUUCCGACUUUUUUAUGAUUACUUUUCAAUAUACAAGAUUCACAGAGCACAUGAUUUCACAUGCCAAAACAAAAAACUAGGAACAAAAUUUUUUUCAUUGGUUAUAGUUUUAGAUUCUUUUUUGGAGGCGUGUGGUCCAUAGAUCAAUUCAAGCCAAAGACGUAUAGAAACCUGAAAAUUUCUACUCCCUCCAUUCCAUUUUACUCGUAUCAACUUUCUUAAUUUAUUUUACUCAUUUCAAAUUUUUUAAAUUUGAUUUCUCAUUUUACUUGUUAUUUUCAUUAAUCAAGAUAGGAUAAUUUUUUUUUAAUUUUUUACUCUUAAUAUUAAUUGUUUUAUCUCCAAAAUUAAAAUAUAAACAUCAUUUAAUAAGAAUUAGCCAUGUUAUAAAUUAUUUUUUUAAUUAAUAUAUAAUGUCAAAUAUAAACGAGUAAAAUGGGACGGAGGGAGUAUUAUAUAAGUAGAGGCGUUAUCACAUGAACCACAUGUGAAUGCCACUUGCUAGACCACUAAGCCAAUUCAUGUAGUUAUAUCAACAAAGCAGGGGAUUUUGAAUUAAAAGGGACAAACAAGUUGUCCAAUUAAGUGAGGGUUUUCAAAUUUUUAAAAGUAGGUGGGAGGGACAAAAUUUUUUUGAGUUUUUUUAAAGUAUUUUUCGUUCCAACAACUUCUCCCAGUUGUUGAACAACCUUGAUAUUUGUUCGAUAACUUUGCGAAGUUGUUCAACAACUAUCAAAGUUAUUCGACAACUGCGCUAGUUGUUGAGACAACUAAUGCAGUUGUCGAACAACUGUCCCAAUUGUUCAAAAGACUUAAUUUUUUUUAAAGGGGAUAAGUUGCGGGACUCAUUUGUCCCCCUUUUUUUAAUUGAAGACUUGGGAGGGUCUUUGAACUCAUUUUUCUCCCGAAACAGGAUCCCUUUUAUGACACUAGCUUAAGAUCUUUUAUAUGCUUUAAAAUUUGUAAUUAGAUAAGUGAAUUUAACUUAUAUAUGCCGACGGUGUUACUAAUUCCACCUUAUAUGGAUGGUUGAUUAUCUGUUAGGUGACAUGAUAGUGUAAACAUAUGUUUUACAUUUUUCUAAUUUUAUUAUGUGAUGUUGCAAUGUUCAGGGAAUGAUGAACAAUUGCUGGUUCCGAGUGAAGAUGAAUGUGUGCAAGCCUCACAAGGGAGAGAUUGGAAUAGUGUUCGAGCACCCGACCCAACCUGGAAACCAAUCGGGUGGAUGGAUGGCAAAGGAGAGGCACUUGGAGAUAUCAGCAGAGGCUCCUCCAGCACUAAAGAAAAGCAUUUCAACUCCAUUCAUGAACACAGCUUCAAAGAUGUAUUCCAUGUCCGAGGUCAGGAAGCACAACCAUUCUGACUCUGCUUGGAUCAUAGUCCAUGGCCAUAUCUACGAUGCCACACGUUUCUUGAAAGACCAUCCUGGUGGUGUUGACAGCAUCCUCAUCAAUGCUGGUACUGAUUGCACUGAGGAAUUUGAUGCAAUUCAUUCUGAUAAGGCCAAGAAGCUCUUGGAGGACUUUAGAAUUGGUGAACUCAUAACUACUGGUUACACCUCUGAUUCCUCUCCAAACAGUUCUGUCCAUGGAUCUUCUUCCAUCAGUAGCUUUCUAGCACCUAUUAAGGAGCUUGUUCAAACACCAACAAGGAGUGUGGCCCUUAUCCCAAGAGAGAAAAUCCCUUGUAAACUCGUCGACAAGCAAUCCAUCUCCCCUGAUGUUAGGAAAUUCCGUUUUGCAUUACCCUCUGAAGAUCAAGUCUUGGGCUUGCCUGUUGGCAAACACAUAUUCCUCUGUGCCACAAUUGAUGAUAAGCUCUGCAUGCGCGCGUACACGCCUACUAGCACGGUCGAUGAGGUGGGGUUCUUCGAAUUGGUUGUCAAAGUAUACUUCAAAGGGGUUCACCCUAAAUUCCCUCAUGGUGGGCAAAUGUCACAGUAUCUUGAUUCUCUCCCAAUAGGAGCAUUUCUCGACAUGAAAGGUCCAUUAGGUCACAUUGAAUACCAAGGAAAGGGUAAUUUCUUAAUCCAUGGCAAACAAAAGUUUGCCAAGAAGUUGGCAAUGAUAGCUGGUGGAACAGGGAUAACUCCAGUGUAUCAAGUGAUGCAGGCAAUCCUGAAAGAUCCAGAAGACGACACGGAAAUGUAUGUGGUGUAUGCUAACAGAACAGAGGAUGAUAUUUUACUCAAGGAUGAACUUGAUGCAUGGGCAGAGCAAAUACCAGAUAG
rnacentral:lncRNA from 1 species